GACGAACGCUGGCGGCGUGCCUAAUACAUGCAAGUUGAGCGAUGAAGAUUGGUGCUUGCACCAAUUUGAAGAGCAGCGAACGGGUGAGUAACGCGUGGGGAAUCUGCCUUUGAGCGGGGGACAACAUUUGGAAACGAAUGCUAAUACCGCAUAACAACUUUAAACAUAAGUUUUAAGUUUGAAAGAUGCAAUUGCAUCACUCAAAGAUGAUCCCGCGUUGUAUUAGCUAGUUGGUGAGGUAAAGGCUCACCAAGGCGAUGAUACAUAGCCGACCUGAGAGGGUGAUCGGCCACAUUGGGACUGGGACACGGCCCAAACUCCUACGGGAGGCAGCAGUAGGGAAUCUUCGGCAAUAGACGAAAGUCUGACCGAGCAACGCCGCGUGAGUGAAGAAGGUUUUCGGAUCGUAAAACUCUGUUGGUAGAGAAGAACGUUGGUGAGAGUGGAAAGCUCAUCAAGUGACGGUAACUACCCAGAAAGGGACGGCUAACUACGUG
rnacentral:rRNA from 1 species